rnacentral:misc_RNA from 1 species
GACGAGGGGCCCGAGCGUUAAUCGGAAUCACUGGGCUUAAAGGGUGCGCAGGCGGAUCGGCAAGCGUCUUGUGAAAGCCCCCGGCUCAACCGGGGAACUGCGGGGCGAACUGCCGGUCUUGAGGCAGGUAGGGGCAGACGGAACUGUCGGUGGAGCGGUGAAAUGUGUAGAUAUCGACAGGAACGCCAAUGGCGAAGGCAGUCUGCUGGGCCUGUCCUGACGCUCAGGCACGAAAGCGUGGGGAUCAAACAGG